rnacentral:rRNA from 1 species
UACGUAGGGUGCGAGCGUUAAUCGGAAUUACUGGGCGUAAAGCGUGCGCAGGCGGUUCGUUAAGUUCGAUGUGAAAGCCCCGGGCUCAACCUGGGAACUGCAUUGGAAACUGGCGAGCUUGAAUGCGGCAGAGGGGGGUGGAAUUCCGCGUGUAGCAGUGAAAUGCGUAGAGAUGCGGCGGAACACCGAUGGCGAAGGCAGCCCCCUGGGCUGAGAUUGACGCUCAGGCACGAAAGCGUGGGGAGCAAACAGG